AUUGAACGCUAGCGGCAGGCCUAACACAAGCAAGUCGAGCGGAGCGGCGGACGGGUGAGUAAUGCCUAGGAAUCUGCCUGGUAGCGGGGGACACCGUCCGGAAACGGGCGCUACUACCGCAUACUAUCAGAUGAGCCUAGGUCGGAUUAGCUAGUUGGUGGGGUAAAGGCCUACCCAGGCGACGAUCCGUAACUGGUCUGAGAGGAUGAUCAGUCACACUGGAACUUAGACACGGUCCAGACUCCGACGGGAGGCAUCAGUGGGGAAUAUUGGACAAGUGGCGAAAGCCUGAUGCAGCCAUGCCGCGUGUGUGAAGAAGGUCUUGGGAUUGUGAAGCACUUUAAGUUGGGAGGCGUUACCAACAGAAUAAGCACCGGCUAACUUCGUGCCAGCCGCCGCGGUAAUAC
rnacentral:rRNA from 1 species